AGUAAAGUCAGCUAAAUAAGCUCUCGGGCCCAUACCCCGAAAAUGUUGGUCUCCAACCCCUCCUAUACUA
rnacentral:tRNA from 1 species